rnacentral:rRNA from 1 species
GACAGAGGGUGCAAACGUUGCUCGGAAUUACUGGGCGUAAAGCGCGUGUAGGCGGACCAGCAAGUCAGGCGUGAAAUCCCUAGGCUCAACCUAGGAACUGCACCUGAAACUGCUGGUCUGGAGUAGUGGAGAGGAAAGCAGAAUUCCUGGUGUAGAGGUGAAAUUCGUAGAUAUCAGGAGGAACACCGGUGGCGAAGGCGGCUUUCUGGACACUUACUGACGCUGAGACGCGAAAGCGUGGGGAGCAAACAGG